CGCUCCGAGGCGUGUAAAAGCGGGGCGGCGGGGCCGGGGAGCAGCGAGCGAGCAGCCCGGGCUGUGCUGCGGAGCAGGUUGCACCAGUUGACGGGAUCGCUGCACAAACCAGCAAAACGUCGUCCGAAAUGGCAGCCGAGGGGGAUAAAAUGUUGGGAGGAAGACUCAGUGCAAGCACAGAUCCAGUCAUGGAGAUGUUCA